GCAAAACCUUCCUACUUUGCUUAUGUUUGUAUUUUGAUCUUCAAAAUAUCACAAGUGGUUUGACCUGUGGGAAAGGUUUCACCUUCUAGGUGCUGAUUCAGAGUAGGUGGUGGUGUGGUCUGGUAGGAUAAUUUCUGCUUUCAGCCCAUUGAGGCUGAUAAUAUCCAUGAGUUAGACAAGGCUUUGUUUUAGUUUCAUUUCCAUCUUUUAAUGCAAAAUUGUACUCCCUGAGAAUGGAGACUUAGUGUGAAGUCCUGACUAAAGCUCCUGCCCAUUCACCUGCAGUCUGCAGAGGCUGAGUCCAUAAAUCCUGAGAAAUCUCAGUGGGCAAAUGUAGCUGAUUCCCCAGAAACCUUGGGACAUGCUUGACUAUUUGCAAGAUUUCCAACCUAUUCUAUUUUCUCCAGCACCCAAGGCUGUGAGGAGCUUGAAAAAUCAGGAUAAAACUCAUUUCUAGUCAGAACCAAGUUGCAGGGAGCUCUUACCCAACAUAUUCCUUUGCGUAGGAGCUUGGAUCCAUUCCAGUGUUUUGUCAGCCAGUAUUUAUGGCCUUCCAACCUCUUCCCCAUGGCAGCUGGCUGAAAUUUGAAAGCAAUUACAAGUCUGGGCUGAUGUUUGUCAGUUUGUAGGAGGGAGUAACUAAGUGCUAACCCUAACAACAAUUCCCUUGCUCUGCCUGGAGGGCUCAGCUGGGAGCAGACCCUUUUCUCUGGGUGAAAUCGCUCACCCAGUGUGAGCACCAGAAGGAGCUUGGGUGCAGUUCUGAGAUGGAAAGAAGCUCUUUUGUCCAACUUCUGCCUAAUGUUUUCUUCUCCCAGAGUCUUUCAGAGGAUCCAGCUCUACCCUGUAAAUUUUCACCAAACCUUAGAUACGCCCUUUUCUGAAAUAACAACCAUAGCACUGCCUUCUCUGAGAAGUGUCCAAAUAAAUGUCUUUGCCCUGGAUGUCUCACAAAUGACCCCCUUACCAGGCACACAGCACCAUGCCUGAAUUUAGAGCUGGGUUUCAAAGGAAUUUGCUCCCAGUUACUCCUUGUUCUAUCACCCCUUCAUUUCAGAAGUCAUUUGGGUGAUGUGUUUGACAGCCAUGGCUGGAUUUGGAUAGUUAGAGAGGUUGAGAGUGUGUAGCAAACAACUCUUAACUUUUAUUCUAUUCACCUUCCCAUGUCACUUUCUCAAAUCACAUUUCUCCUCCAUAAGCAGAGCUUGCUCUGUAAGAGGAAGAAGCUCUUGCUGCUUCACUGUGCAAAGCAACACCGAUAAAUUCAUGCCAGAAAUGUCUCCUUUCAGCAAGCCUUGAGACUGAAGCCCUCUCCUUUGAAAAACACAGGUCCAACUCAUGUAUGAGCAGCAAAAUGUCUUUUGUUUCUCUUAUGGUUCUUAAUUCUUGAAAUCAAUAUCAAAUCAAUAACAGAACAAUCCUCUCCUAUCCUAAUUCCCUAUGACACUCCCUGCUCAUUUCUUACAAGCUUUGGAAUGACUUCUGGAAUAGAAACAGUUCUAAAUUGAGGAUUUGCAUUCAGGAUUUCAUCCUGACUUCAUUUUUAGUGCUUCUUUCCUGCAGUCUGGAGUGAUGGCAGUGUGAGAGCUGGUGGGUACCACUGCCUGCCCUGGUGAAUCAGAAAUUGCUCCUUUCUCUGAUGUCACCGUGUCAUGGUCCUGGGAAAGAAGCUAAGCAUGAUUGCAGGGCAACUUUUUCCACUGCCGUCCUCCACGUCUUCCCUGGGAAGGAUUUGCUUCUGGAACUCCUUUUCAAAGGGACUCUCUGAAGCCAGCCUGUCUGGGAGCACUGGUGCUAUGAGAUCCUUCAGCACCAAAGUGCAAAGCAUUUCACAGACAGCUUUUCUUGAGGAAAUAUGACAACAUCACCCAGAAAUGUCCUCUGAGCUGGUCCCAGGGAUGAGCUGCUGGAAGGAAUCAAACAUUUACAGCUCCAGAGGGACAGAGAGGUAAUGUUGGAUCACAGAAUCAUUUAGGUUGGAAAGGACCUUUAAAAUCAACAUGUCAAGCUGGUGAGGCUCAUCUGAACUCUACAAAUUCUCUUCUCUCCUGGCAAGGCCUGAUGGAGCCUGUAUAAACUGGAGUCUUUGAGUCUAUAAACCACAAAUUAUCUCCCAGAACCAUAUAAAUCACAUACUUAAAGACCAAUAGUCAUAACCAGACCAUAGUUAUGUCUGUGGAAGAACUGAAAUGUGAGGUUCAUACUGCACAAUCCAGCUGGUCACAAACGGAUCUCACCUCCCUGGAAUUAUACAACUGAGCUCAUGUAGAAGUUGAGGCAGCAUCAAAAUUCAGGUCUGGACCUGAAAUCCCACUCAGCCUUCGAUGUACUUUGGAAUCCCUGCAGCACCAGGUGCUCUGGGGCUGGAUUUAGGAGGAAAUGGCCCAGUUGGCUGACUGUGGUCCCUGUGAGCCUCUGGGCACAGAGUCCCCCAGUGCUGUGACAGCCCAGCCUUCAGCUGCCACCUCAGUCACUCCUUCAGCACUGUGGCUUCCAUUCGCACCACUGGCACUGCAGAAAACACAUUCAAACCUCACCACAGUGAUUUGUUCUCCU